AUUGAACGCUGGCGGCAUGCCUUACACAUGCAAGUCGAACGGUAACGCGGGGCAACCUGGCGACGAGUGGCGAACGGGUGAGUAAUGCAUCGGAACGUGCCCAGUAGUGGGGGAUAGCCCGGCGAAAGCCGGAUUAAUACCGCAUACGACCUACGGGUGAAAGGGGGGGAUCGCAAGACCUCUCGCUAUUGGAGCGGCCGAUGUCAGAUUAGGUAGUUGGUGGGGUAAAGGCCUACCAAGCCGACGAUCUGUAGCUGGUCUGAGAGGACGACCAGCCACACUGGGACUGAGACACGGCCCAGACUCCUACGGGAGGCAGCAGUGGGGAAUUUUGGACAAUGGGCGCAAGCCUGAUCCAGCCAUGCCGCGUGCGGGAAGAAGGCCUUCGGGUUGUAAACCGCUUUUGUCAGGGAAGAAAUCCUCUGGGCUAAUACCUCGGGGGGAUGACGGUACCUGAAGAAUAAGCACCGGCUAACUACGUGCCAGCCGCCGCAGUAACAC
rnacentral:rRNA from 1 species